GUGCUCGUUUUGGCAGCACAUAUACUAAAAUUGGAACAAUACAGAGAUUAGCAAGGCCCCUGUGCAAGGAGGACUCGCAAACUAGGGAAGUGUUCAAUAUUCUU
ensembl:snRNA U6 U6 spliceosomal RNA